rnacentral:rRNA from 1 species
GUUAAAAAGCUCGUAGUUGGAUUUCUGUUGAGGUUGGGUGAUCCCUUCUCCGAAGGCGUAUUUGCUUCGAUCUCGGCAUCCUUCUGAAAGACUGUGCUGCCCUUCAUUGAGUGGUCAGGAUUUCAGGACUUUUACUUUGAGGAAAUUAGAGUGUUUACGGCAGGCAGGCGCCUUGAAUAUAUUAGCAUGGAAUAAUGAUAUAAGACCUUGGUUUUAUUUUGUUGGUUUCUAAAGCUAAGGUAAUGAUUAACAGGGAUAUUUGGGGGUAUUUGUAUUACACGGUCAGAGGUGGAAUUCUUGGAUUCGUGUACGACAAACUACUGCGAAAGCAUUUACCAAGGAUGUUUUCAUUGAUCAAGAACGAAAGUGUGGGGAUCGAAGAUGAUUAGAUACCGUCGUAGUCUACACCAUAAACUAUGCCGACUAGAGAUUGGAGGUUGUCUUCUUAUAACUCCUUCAGCACCUUUCGAGAAAUCAAAGUUUUUGGGUUCCGGGGGGAGUAUGGUCGCAAGGCUGGAACUUAAAGGAAUUGACGGAAGGGCACCACCAGGAGUGGAGCCUGCGGCUUAAUUUGACUCAACACGGGAAAACUUACCAGGUCCAGACAUAACGAGGAUUGACAGAUUGAUAGCUCUUUCUUGAUUUUAUGGGUGGUGGUGCAUGGCCGUUCUUAGUUGGUGGAGUGAUUUGUCUGGUUAAUUCCGUUA